rnacentral:lncRNA from 1 species
GGAAUGAAGAUCUCUCCUAUUAUGUGAUGCAAUAGUCUCAUUUCAAGGAUAAGACUACGAGCAAUAAUAUCUCCUUCAAUAUCAUCCCGACCCACAAUCACUCUUAAUCCUUCUUUUUUAUCUCCAAAUCUUUCGAGAAUAAUUUCUUAUUAAGAAAUAUGUCUCAAAAGCCAAUCAUCAAUCUGUUGACAGUUAAGCAACUUUAUAUUGUAAUUGAUUUGUUAAUAAAUAAAAUAUAUUUUUGACAUUUUCAUCACAAGUUUUCAUCUUCUAAUGAACUCCAUUGUUGUGAUGAAGUCCUUAGGA